rnacentral:rRNA from 1 species
UAAGAGGUCCUGCCUGCCCUGUGACUAUAAGUUUAACGGCCGCGGUAUUAUGACCGUGCGAAGGUAGCGUAAUCACUCGUCUUUUAAAUGAAGACCUGUAUGAAUGGCUUAACGAGGGCUUAACUGUCUCCUCUUUCAAAUCAAUGAAAUUGAUCUCCCCGUGCAGAAGCGGGGAUACAUCCAUAAGACGAGAAGACCCUGUGGAGCUUUAGACAUAAGACGAAACCACGUUCAGCACCUCUAAAUAAGGAACAAAACUAUGUGGGCCCUUUCCGUCUGAAUGUCUUUGGUUGGGGCGACCGCGGGGUAAUAAGCAACCCCCAAGAGGACAGGGAGCAAUGCUCCUACAACCAAGAAUUGCAAUUCUAAUUAACAGAAUUUCUGACCAUUUGAUCCGGCACGCCGAUCAACGGACCGAGUUACCCCAGGGAUAACAGCGCAAUCCCCUUAUAGAGACCCUAUCGACAAGGGGGUUUACGACCUCGAUGUUGGAUCAGGACAUCCUAUUGGCGCAGCCGUCAUUAAGGGUUCGUUUGUUCAACG